rnacentral:rRNA from 1 species
UACGAAGGGGGCUAGCGGUGUUCGGAAUCACUGGGCGUAAAGCGCACGUAGGCGGACGUUUAAGUCAGGGGUGAAAUCCCAGGGCUUAACCGUGGAACUGCCCUUGAUACUGGAUGUCUCGAGUCCGGGAGAGGUGAGUGGAACUCCGAGUGUAGAGGUGAAAUUCGUAGAUAUUCGGAAGAACACCAGUGGCGAAGGCGGCUCACUGGGCCGGUACUGACGCUGAGGUGCGAGAGCGUGGGGAGCAAACAGG